AAAGAUACAUUUGAGAACAUCUACUCUUGCCUGAACAUCUAUUUUAUAUUCUGUUUUUUUAGAUACUACAAAAAUACUACAUUUGAAAAAGGAUUCUUGAAAGUGCAGUACCUUUGUGUGACCACAAGAUGUAGGUGUCACAUCACCUAUGAACCUACCCUAUGUUAAAAUCAUACACACUUGUAAAGACUGUUGUACGGUCACAUUGGAUUUGAAAGCAACAUCCUUUCUUCCAUACAUCCACGCUACCUGAAAGACGACAGCUUCCUGAAUCCAACGAUACCAGUUAUGUGAACAUCGGACCUCCGCUUCAAAAGAUACGGCCAGGUAAGCUUUGGCCAAUCAGAUCGCAUAUGCUAAUGAGGGUGGAAUUAAUGAGGGUGAAACUCGUUUUUAUCUAUAUACCUAGUUGCAAUUAACCCCAGACUAGCCCCUAACCCUAACCAUAAACUGCUAGCCCUAGCCUCACUAACCACUAGC
rnacentral:lncRNA from 1 species